CCAGAUUGAUUGACCGACUGACAGGAGCACUAUGCCAGCAGACCUGAGGUUGCAGAACAAGAAGCAUGGUCAGGUGCUGGAGGAGUGACAGGUGUGCAGUUCCAUGGCAUGGAGCACACUCACACUGCUGUGCUUCUCACCACCCUUUCUCCAAACUGUACCAUCCCAGGAUCCAACUCUGCACCGCUCCACAGAAACUCCCUAACUGCUUCCUCACAGGAUGCCUGGCAACAGGGGUUCUACUUCCUGUCUCUGUGACUUACUGUAGGUACUUCAUACAACUGGAACCAUCUAGCAUUUGGCCUGCUGUGACUGGCUUAUUUCACUUAGUUUAAUGUCUUCAAGGUUCAUCCAUGAGGUAGCACAUACCAGGGUUUCAUUCCUUUUAAAAACUGAGUUAUAUUUCACUGUAUGUAUAUAGCAAAUUUUGUUUAUCUAUUCAUCUUUCAAUGAACAUCGAGUUUUUCCUACAUUUGGCUAUUAUGAAUAAUGCUUCUAUGAACAUUGGGGUACAAGUGCCUGUUCUUAAAUACCUUGGUAUAUACACCCAGCAGUAGAAGCAAUUGUGGGCAAAUGGUAAUGCUGUUAUGCUUACUAUGGAUUACUUUACAUCCACUCUUCAGUGUUAUGUUGACAUGCUUCCUCCUGUAGCACCCAGAGGUAGGAACUCAGUCUUACUGCUGGGCCCAGCACAGGCCUGGUGCUUUGAUUAACGUUUGGGAAGGGAUGGAUGAAUGGUAAAUUUAGCUGAAGCAGAUAUAAAGAGAAGACAAGUGACAGGGUUCCUGAUGGUAAUUUUCACUCCCAGAGGUCCCAAAUAGACUGCCCACAGAGUUGUCUGGUUUUCCUCAGUUUUUGUUUUUGUUUGUUGUUGUUUUGUAGUACUGGGAAUUGAACCCAGGGGUGCUCUGCCAGUGAGCUACAUCGCAGCCCUUUUGGGAACAGGGUCUCAUUAAACUACAGAAGCUAGCCUCGAUCUUGAGAUUCUCCAGCCUCAGCCUCCCAAGUAGCUGGGAGUACAGGUGGUGUUGUUUUUUAAAUUUUCUAACUUUCUUGCCUGGGGCUCACCCUUCCUACAGCCUCACACCAGAAGCCAUUAGAUUAGAGCCCAAGUAUCUAUGCUUCAAGGUUCCUCUUCAGGCGACAGAAAACUUUUAGUCAGAAGGAACAGUGUUAGAAUUCAAGCUCCAUCACUUCUUGGUGAUGACCCUAAGUCUCUUUCCUCAUGUGUAAAAUGGGAAUAUUGUAUAAUGCAUACAUCAACUAUAAAGAUUAACCCAAAUAUAUGAAGGGUCCAGAACAAAGGAGAUCUGUCAAUAAAUAUUAGUUCUUUCUUA